UACGUAGGGUGCGAGCGUUGUCCGGAAUUAUUGGGCGUAAAGAGCUUGUAGGCGGUCUGUCGCGUCUGCUGUGAAAAUCCGGGGCUCAACCCCGGACUUGCAGUGGGUACGGGCAGACUAGAGGAUGGCAGAGGAAAGUGGAAUUCCUGGUGUAGCGGUGAAAUGCGCAGAUAUCAGGAGGAACACCGGUGGCGAAGGCGGUUCUCUGGGCCUUACCUGACGCUGAGGAGCGAAAGCGUGGGGAGCGAACAGG
rnacentral:rRNA from 1 species